AUAAAUCUUUCGCCUUUUACUAAAGAUUUCCGUGGAGAGGAACAACUCUGAGUCUUAAACCAAUUUUUUGAGGCCUUGUUUCGGCAAGGCUACUUAUGUUGUGUUAAAAAGAAGAAUUUGUUUGUGUUAGUACUUGCUUUUUCUGUACAGCACCGAUGUUGUCGUACGACUGGGGUUGUACAUGUCAUGAACGAAGCCCCUGGCCCGGGCCGUGGAAACACUAGGUCUCAGGAAAUGCGGAAGGGAGCUGCAGAGGAAGGCAACGUCCCAUUGAGCGUCCUCAAGAGGAGCCAGUCGUCUGUGAGAAAAUGGAGAUGAGGAAAUAGAGUAGGGGCCUAAAUAGCAAGUCCAGGGCCACUUUGAGGUUUCCAAAGUGUGUUUCAAUGCCACGGCUCAAGGAAUGCAAAUAAAAGCCAAGGAAGA
rnacentral:lncRNA from 1 species